rnacentral:lncRNA from 1 species
UGACAAAAAAAAGUAUUUCCAUUGCCACAUCGAAGACUACUGGAGAAGAAACUGUCCGACCUACCUGGCAACUAUCAAGAGCAAGAAGAAGAAUGGACCUUCUGAAGGUACGUCUGAAUUGCUCGUUAUUGAAACUAAUCUAACAGUUUUCUCUUCUUUUAGUUGGAUUCUUGAUUUUAGUUCAAGUGCUCAUUUGUGCACUUCUAUGCAAGGUCUUGAAGAAGUUAGGGGGC